GACGAACGCUGGCGGCGUGCUUAACACAUGCAAGUCGAACGGUGAAGGGGUCUGCUUUUGUGGGCCCUGGAUGAGUGGCGAACGGGUGAGUAACACGUGAGUAACCUGCCCCCUUCUUCUGGAUAACCGCAUGAAAGUGUGGCUAAUACGGGAUAUUCUGGGUCUGUCGCAUGAUGGGUCUGGGAAAGAUUGCGCCUUUGGGUGUUUUUGGUGGGGGAUGGGCUCGCGGCCUAUCAGCUUGUUGGUGGGGUGAUGGCCUACCAAGGCGGUGACGGGUAGCCGGCCUGAGAGGGUGUACGGUCACACUGGAACUGAGACACGGCCCAGACUCCUACGGGAGGCAGCAGUGGGGAAUAUUGCACAAUGGGCGCAAGCCUGAUGCAGCGACGCCGCGUGAGGGAUGGAGGCCUUCGGGUUGUAAACCUCUUUCGCCAGUGAAGCAGGCCUGCCCCUGGUGGGUGGGUUGACGGUAGCUGGAUAAGAAGCGCCGGCUAACUACGU
rnacentral:rRNA from 1 species